rnacentral:lncRNA from 1 species
AGGGCCUGCUACUGGAGACCUGCUGCUUCCUCUCGGGUUUCUUCCUGGACCUACUUGGUACCUGGCACCUUCUUGCUGCCAAAGACCGGCCACACUGUUGCUGCUCUCCCCCUGCGCUUUUGCCCCGGACCAUCAGAACGUCGUGUAACGUGACUGCUGCUGGAUCCUGGUGUGCUCCAUCCGAUAGCGACUUCAGCAGGAAAGAUGAACCUGAAUCUACAAGGAAUCAAG